AUGAAUCCCAGUGGCUCUCUACGGAGACGUUUGUCCUCCCUUCGCGAUGCUUGGAGGUGGAGUACGGGUUACCUGUUCAAGGGCUCAACCAAAUCCUCCAAGAGCAUGGAGUCUCGACACAGACCAUCUAGGAGCUUGAGUUUGAUCCAGGCCGUGGAGGAAAACUAUGAGGUGGACCUGGUCUACAUCACAGAGCGCAUCAUUUCUGUGAGCUUCCCCAGUAAUGUAGAAGAGCCGAGCUACAGCGAUAACAUAAAGGAGGUCGCCACCAUGCUACGCUCCAAACAUGGUGACAACUACUUGCUCUUCAACCUCAGUGAAAAGCGCUGUGAUAUCUCCAAGCUGAAUCCCAAAGUGCUGGAUUUUGGCUGGCCGGACCAUCAUGCUCCAGCCCUGGACAAGAUCUGCAGCAUCUGCAAAGCCAUGGACACUUGGAUGAGCGCUGACAGUCACAAUGUGGUGGUCUUACACAAUAAGGGAAACCGAGGUCGAACGGGGGUAGUUGUGGCUGCGUACAUGCAUUACAGCAACAUAUCAGCGAGUGCAGACCAGGCUCUGGACAGGUUCGCCAUGAAGCGCUUUUAUGAAGAUAAAGUGCUUCCUGUGGGUCAACCCUCCCAGAGAAGGUAUGUGCAGUAUUUCAGCGGUCUGCUCUCCGGCCGCAUCAAGAUCAACAACAAGCCCCUGUUUCUGCACCACGUCAUCAUGCACGGGAUCCCAAACUUCGAGUCCAAAGGAGGUUGCCGCCCUUUCCUCAAGAUCUACCAGGCUAUGCAGCCCUUAGUAAUAGUGUGUAAUUUCUUUUACCGUUUCACCUGUUGCUGUAAUGUGACGUGUGGUUUCUCCUGUCAUCCACAGCUCAAGUGUUACCACAAGCGCUUCCGCAGCCCGUCCCGUGAUGUCAUCUUCAGAGUGCAGUUUCACACCUGUGCUGUCCAUGAUCUGGGCAUCGUCUUCGGCAAAGAUGAGCUUGAUGAAACAUUUAAAGAUGACAGAUUUCCUGAAUAUGGAAAAGUGGAAUUUGUCUUUUCUUUCGGCCCAGAAAAAAUCCAAGGAAUGGACCACCUUGAGAACGGGCCCAGUGUUUCUGUGGACUACAACACCCAGGAUCCUCUGAUUCGCUGGGAUUCUUACGAGAACUUCAACCAGCGCUGCGAAGAUUCAGUGGAGGAGGUCAAGUCAAGUCAAGUCGAGUCACUGGAAUUGUCCUCAUACCCUCUUGGUCUAAACUGCGAGCCUCCUUAUUUUAAGUUGUGGUGUGCUUCUGAUCCUCAGACAUGUGAUUUGUUGUCCUUUUUUGUAGUACAUCCUCAUUUGGUGGGUCAGCUCUCUGGAGAGGGAAAGUCAGAGUAA
rnacentral:lncRNA from 1 species